rnacentral:rRNA from 1 species
AUUGAACGCUGGCGGCAUGCUUUACACAUGCAAGUCGAACGGCAGCGCGGGGGCAACCCUGGCGGCGAGUGGCGAACGGGUGAGUAAUGCAUCGGAACGUAUCCUGUAAUGGGGGAUAACGUAGCGAAAGUUACGCUAAUACCGCAUACGCUCGAGAGAGGAAAGUGGGGGAUCGCAAAGACCUCACGUUAUAGGAGCGGCCGAUGUCCGAUUAGCUAGUUGGUGGGGUAAAGGCCUACCAAGGCGACGAUCGGUGGCUGGUCUGAGAGGAUGAUCAGCCACACUGGGACUGAGACACGGCCCAGACUCCUACGGGAGGCAGCAGUGGGGAAUUUUGGACAAUGGGCGAAAGCCUGAUCCAGCCAUGCCGCGUGCGGGAAGAAGGCC